rnacentral:sRNA from 1 species
GCCAUAAACUGACAUUUCAGACAUCGGCUGUCCUUAAAAAAAAAGGGUUCUCUCCUCCGCCCAUUGUGGCUGCGAUUUUUAUAUUGGUCCGCUGCUAGGUGACAAAGAAAAUCAGCGACUAAUUGACUGAAAGGGGUUUUGCCUUAUAUGACCCGUCCCACCCGUCCAAAAAAGGGUGAGGAGUGGUUUGGAUUUGGAUUCGUGCUUGGUUUCGGGGAAUUGCCGUUAACUCCUUUCGCGGCCCUUUGUCUUAAUGGGUUAACAGUCGCAUAUUGGAAGCCUUAGCUUCAAAUGGCCCCUGUCGUAAACGUAAGUUGAAAGCAACUUAUCGCAUAUUAGGACUGCCAUUUUGUUUCUGAGAAACUGUAUUCCCGCUUUUUAUCCGUAAAAAAAACCCCUAGUUUGGGAUAAGCAAAGAGCAGCGCUCUCCUCCGCAUUUUCAUCUCGAUGUGAUGGUAAGUUACUGCUAAUAAAUUAUCUUUUUGAUAUCAUCAAAUAUAUUUCACUAAUGCAGCGCUAUUUGAAAGAGUCGUGCUUCGUUCAUUCUUCCAACUUCCUCCAAAAGGAACUCCUUGAAAGGCCGUUCCUGAGCACAAUUGAUGAAAUGAGAUUACUUUCAAAUGUAUGAUUAGUUUGGCCGUCAUUCAGUUGAUUCUCAGCCACGAUGGCCGCCUAAGCCCAUCAGGAAAGGCACUUGGGCCCGUCCAUAUCCCUAUAUCCUGCGAUGCUAAUGAGGAAGUAAGUAGUCGGCCGGCAAGGAAGUGAACGGGGAUUACACGUGCUCCUCGGGCGGACAAAGGCCCUCUCCUCUCGCAGCAGAGUGUUUGGGCUAAGCGAAAAAGACUAACCAGGAUCGAGAGUCGGGAAUCGAGGACCUAGGAUCACUUGUUUGUUUUCCUUGGCAUAUGCAAAGUGCACACUUGCAGAGGAUAAUGGGAACAGGUAUUGCUCGGCUCGAUGUGUCUGGGGAUUUGCCUUAGCCACUUCCGCAAACGGAAGUGCACAGCUCGGCAAAAAGAACCCCGACUAAAAAAGACACAAGUUAAGUACUGGAAGGGAACCCACAAUGGCCAUAGCUUCCGUCGUCAAAUCCUUUGGCUAAUUGUUAUCCUAUGGCUCCUAAUCCCACGUCCAGCAAAAGGCUGCUCAAUUAUGGCAUCUCUUUAAUUGAGAGACGUCGAGCCGCUCCGAAUAGAGCCUUCCUUCAUUCACCGCUGACCAGCCGAGCGAAAAGAUCUCGAGCAGAUCUCAAGUCCGGAAUAUGAAAUCCGGAUCCCAAAUCCCAAGGCAGUAUUGCAUUACUAUGCCAAUUAGUGCGGUUUUGAUUACCCAAAUGACAUUUGCCUCGCAGGCCCGCAAUGCUUUGGAGUCCUCUUAUCUGCCGAGCGAGUUGCAUCUUCCAAAUUGGGGCGACAGCGCGUCUAUCGUAUUACUAUCUUAUGUUUGCACCGGCCAAACAUCCCAGCAACUCAAUGAACUUUGAAUGAUGGACUGCGCUGAGCUGCGAAUGCCCAAUAUUGAAAUUGUGCGCGAUAAGUUCAAGGUUCUGACUCAAGAUUGGGCCGAUCGAUCGAACGAUCGAUCGAUUGAUCGAUGGGGAGACCCCACACGGGAAAAGUGCCAUUUAAUGCUCGUCAAAUCGACGCACAAAGAGCUCGGUGUCCAGAGUGCUAUUUAAAUGGGCAAAACUAACUUGCUACUUCCUUACGCCAUCAUUGUGCCUGUUGUCCUGUUGUCCCGUUGUCAGGACCCCAGGAAGAUGUCCAGGAGACAGGGGAGGGGUGUGUCCGUGUCCACGCCCAUCGCCAUAGUCAGAGGAAAAUGAGAAUGCUCGGGUUGGGAAAAUACUGAAAAAGUCGCACACACAAGACGAGCAAGAGAAAGGAAUCCAAAGAAAGCAACAUUUCACGCAUGAUUUCCGAGUGGGAGAUCUCUGCUCCUACAGCUACACUGCGAUCAUCUGGAAGGACCAAUAUCUGAACAUUAAUACUUAAGUGAGCAAGUUUCGCCAAACCCCUUUUCCAGUGCACCAGUCACUGCUGCUGAGCAGCGAUUGCAGGGUAUUUGCCAUCGCUGAUGGCACAUUCAUUUUGCAUGCUUCAUUCGUUUUGAUGAACUGUCAACGUUUUGGGCCAUUGUUCCAACUCGGAGCUCUGUGAUCGGUAUCUAUUUGGGUGAGAACCGCUCGCGGUACAGUUAUGUGCGGAUAGUGUGAAACAAUUCUAAUAGCCGGCGCAAAGACCCUUAUUCCCGAUAAUGCCCUUUCAAUGCUCACUUAAUUUUAUGCAUUUUACUGUUGAUUAGCUGCCAUCAGCCACGACGCCCAUUGUCAGCGGCCGAGCACCGUUAGGGGUUUUUCCGGAGUUAAUCAAACCGCCGGUCGAAGAGCCCACAUAAAAAGAGUUACGAUCCGCCCCCGGCCAUCGGGGUGUCGAGCCCACUCGAUCUAUCAAGCGGCCCUUGAAAUUUUCACACCUUUUUGCGGGAGUGUCCUUGCUGCUGCACUCCUUUUUGUCCUUUUGCCAUUGUUCAACUGCAAGCCAAAGCCGCCUACGAAACCCCGUUAGAAUGGCUACUGUUAGCCCCCUUCCUCUCGAGAAGCGAAUUCAAAAUUCCAGAUCCCAGAUCACAUUGUUGGCCAGGACAAUUGCUGUCAAAAUGGCAUUGCAGCGGUUUGCGGAUUUGGCCGUCCUGGUAAUUGUGUCAAUUGUCAGUUCGCACCAUCUCCUAACUGCCAUCAGCAUAUAAAGCAUAUCCAUCCAGCACGAUCUCCACCGGAACGGAUGCGCUGCCCAGAUACAAUCGGGAUCGGCAGAUCGGGACCGGGCGAGAACGGUAGAUCGAGGAAAUCCUGGAACAGAGAACGGAACUGAACCGAACGGAACUGAACGGUCCUAAGCCUCAUUCCGCAUAACUCUUUUUCAUAGAGUGACUCCUGGCCAGCUCGUAAUAUGAGCAUUUAACACCGUAAAGUCUUCGACCCGGCCACGCCCAUUGUAUCCGAGUUCCGUUCCGUUCUGUUCUCAUCUCCUUUGAGAACCACAGUUGCCUUUUGCCUCGAGUUUUUUCACAUGAAACUAAAAACGACUGAAAUCCAUGAGAUUAAACGGUCUUUAAGCGGUUUAAGCCCUUUGUGCACGCAGUUUCGUAGGUGGCAAAAUGUGCCAUUGUCACCGAGUUCUGCCAAAAAUAUGAACUAGCAUAUCAUUUCAUAAUUUUCAGUUUCAUCUUUAAAAGUGCAUUUUUUGCUUCUCGGAAGGAAUACACAAAUAUUGUUGGAAGCUCAGUGGGCCGGAGGGUUCCGGGUGAUCCGACAGGUGACCAGGUACAGCUCUCUCGAUCCUCCAAUCCUCCAUGCUAAUCCUGACUAUCUGGCUGCCUCAAGUUAAUCUCGCAUAAUAUUGCGUCUUCCGAACAGCGUAAUCCCCUGAAAACAAGUGUCCAGAUCCGCAGCUCUCCACUUUUAAGCCGGCAAUGGAUUGCAGAUGACUUGACUAACUGUCGAGCUAGGCUCAACGAACAGAUUUCUCUGAGCCUGGUCGCAACAGUAAUACGUUUGACGUAACGCAGGGGAAUUAAAAAGGUCGAACGAUGUGGCUAAAAACUGGCAAGUAAGGAGCUGGAGUUAAGCAAGCUAAGCUUGGCAAGGCUAUUCUCACUAUAUCGCUUAUUUCUUACUGAUGGGACAGUUUAUACCAUAUUUCAAAUUAAACCAUUCCCUAGAUCACUGAAACUUCAGUCAGGAACUGCAAUUAAUCUUCUUCACCUCUAACUUUCCUAACUUUCCCCACAGUUUGUAGAACUUGUCUCAAGGUCGCAUACUCCAAAGAUCGAACUGAGGCCCAGUUCCAUCGCCAUGUUACGUUGCAUCCUCCAUUGCCAGGGAUUGCGCCAUUUUGGCGUUUAUUAUCGAGGUCCUGCUACGAAAUCGAAGACUCUGCCGAACUCCGGGCCACGCAAUAAAGUAGAGCUCAAAGGCUCGGCCAAUCAGAGGCAGAAACCACAGCUGGAGGGGAUUUCGAAAAACCACCACCACAGCGACUUCAUUUUGUGCGUCUGGUGGGAAACUGGUUCUCUGGGCAAUGAAUCCCCGCAACUUCAUUAAAGCCAGGAGAUAUAGGACCGCAUUUAGGGAGUUGGGGGAAGCGGUGAAGAUGGAGGUGGAGGUGGGGGUGGAGAUGGAGAUGGACGUGCAGGGAGUGGGUGACGGAUCCAGAGAUCCAGGGCUUAGGGAAAAUGUGACAGCUGUGCCAGCUGACCCAGUCCAUUGUCCGAUGUCCAUUGUGUCCAUCCGGAGGCGAGGGAGUCUCCUGCAUUUAAUAAAUAAAUAGCAGGCGACAGACAGACACACAGAGAGACAGCAUCGGGGGCAUUUUCAUUAGGGCAAAUGAAAGGGUUCUGCCUCGGCGUGGUUCGGCUCGGGAAAGCCCUUUUCCGACUUUCCCGGGCGGUUGCUUAAUGAUAACAAAACCGGAUGGCGUUGGCUUGAUUACAAGUGGUCGCUCGCUGGCAAUUUUGCGGGUCGCUCGAAAUGCUGACCGCCGCUGUGGUCACUUUUGGCAAUUUCCUACAAUUGUUGGCUCAACCCCUCCUGCGUUUCUGGGGCGCAGCAGGGUGGACGUGGAUGUCUGGAGUUUGGGGUGGGGUGGAAGUUUGGGGAACGAACACCCCAUCAAUUCGUCGCGCUGUGACACAUUUAUGGGGAGUCUGUGGAGUUAGUGGCUGGCUCGAAAUUAGGUUUCAUGCCCCCACUCCCGGCUAAAUCGAUGCGGUGACCACCUGCCCCUCGCCGUGGCUGAAAACCCUGUCAUUGAUACUGAAACUGUUUUGUCAAUACAAUCGGGGGAAACUCGAGAAGACUUUUGCUGUGGCGCAGCAACAUUAUAAGAUUAUCUGGUCAGGCAACCUCAAAUUUGUGGCCAGACAAGUGGAAACGAUGCGAAGAAAGCAGAUCACUUCCUGUCUUACCCUUCGCCGAUUAUCUUUUUGUCGUGAUCGAGGUCUGUUUGCCAAAUAGACAAAUAGUGCGAUCAGCGGAGCGUGGAAAGAGUUCCUCUCCCUGGGAACUGACCCGCUGUCCCCCGGAAUCCUUUUCUCUACCAGACCAUAUAUAAAUAUACAUCGCGUUUAUUGUCUCGACUGUCAGCGCAGACCAUUAGCCAGGGUUUUCCAACAAUCCGCCGGACACAAUGGAGGAUCACUCACAUAUGCCACGCCAUCUUAGCACUCUAAGCGCUGAACUCCUAACUCCUAAUGAUCUACGGUUCCGGUCGACCCUUGGAUACCCCUUGCAUACAAUUUGCCACAAGUUGCCGUGAUUAAUUAACUUGAAUGGCAAUGGCAUUGGCAUUUGCAUUUCCAUUACCAUUGCCAAGGCUCAUGUUGCGUUCUUGUUCGGAUUGCACGAGUAAUUUGAGGCGCUCAAUUUUUCGACGCAUAAUUAGGAGCGGACUGGGAACUGAGGACCGCUGGCUGCGGAAUUGUUUCGGUGCACGAGCCACACGACUUUCUUCACUAAUUGUUAGCUGGAACGCUUCAAAGGAACUGCGGGAAAGAAAGUUCCUCGACAAACAGCCUCCUGCCACGAAGCCCGGACUUGAUCCUUUCCCUUGGAGUGUGGCAAACGAAUCGAUUCUGGGUUAUGCUCUGGGUGCAGCAAUUAGUUCGAAUUUGCUGGGUCUCCGCUCAGAUGCUGAAUUGGAGAUCAUUGGACUUCAUUCGGAGUGCUGCUGCAGCUUUCCAGUGGUCAGAUCGCGUGGCAGUCAGCAACCCACUGACUGCUUGGGGUAAUUGUGGAGUGAGUGGGAAUAGAGAUCGAGAUACGAUGCUCCAAGUAGUGGCUGCCCAGCUGGCUGCUGGCCACAUCCCGAAGGAAAUGCUGUCACAGAAUCCGAGCAUUGAAGACCAACACGAGCCAUCGAGCGACAGUUCGCCUCCCAUUGUUGGUUAAUUUAUCAAAGAUGCAAAAAGAGCCAACUCACGCUUAAGUGGAAGGCUGCCUAAUGAGCGUGUUCAGUGGUCUUUUUUCGGUGUUUGGUGUUCAAUGCUCAAUGACCAAAGUCCGAUGCCCAGUGCCCAGUGUGGUCAGCAGCUGGAAAAAAGGAACACAUGUGGCUCAUGCCCCUGGCUAGUGAAAGGAUUCGACUUUGGACUCUGGGCUCUGGAUCCUGGACUCUCGAUUCUGGAUUCUGGAUUCUGCACUGGGAACAUGACGGAGUAAACACACGCCGCACAUCCUCAUUAAUCUCGAGGGGGCGUAGACCGAAUGGGAUCGGAGUUCGGACUGCGGCCGGAGGAUCGAAGUUGCUCUGGCUCUAAUCCCGCCGCACACAACAUAUUGCAACUUUAUGUCGGGGAAACGCGAUUCGAAAUCCAUUUCGAUGGCUUGACUUGCGUUUUGUUUUUCCAGCGUCAAUGGCGAGUUAUUUUGGCCUUCCAGCCCCGGACUGGAAUCCAACGAAAAUAUAAUAAGUGGGCACGUGUUUCUGCCUGGUCCACAGGGCAUACAAACUAUUUGUUUUUCUACGGCCAACAGGCCCUUGGGCCUCGUCUGGGGUUUGUUUUUACGCAUAAAUAUUUGUUUAUAUUUGCCUAAGCACAGAGUUUGUGUCGUCUUCUAGGGAACGCACACACCACAGCCAGGAACGCAGUUCGAGGAGUCGCAGGAUCCUUGUCCAGGCGCCAAUCGAGCACCUCUUAAGCCUUUACAGCUGCCCAACGGAAGUGAAGUGAAGGAGUUGCUCAAAGUGGCCUCACGUUCGCCGAGGUCAAUGGGUGUGUUUUCGAAGUCCACAUUUAGGAAGUCUGUCUCUAGUUCCCCCGGACACCAGAUACAUACAUAGGAAAGGCUUGCACACAACUUUGAGCCCCUUUUUUACAGGCGCACACAAAAGUGUGUGGAUAAAGUUUUGGCCUAAGUGAGAGAAAAAAACUCAUUAUGAGUUGCAUAAGGCUCAUAAUUGAUCGGCAAAUGGGCCGACGAGCUGGUGGAACUGAUGGCCAAGACGCACCAUAGUGCAGGGUCCACGCUCUGGAUUAGACCAAUUUUAAGGAGAAUUGCUCUCUGCACGGUUCACACAUAUCUGAUCUGCCCUGCCCUGCUCUGAAUUGCAGGACGUUAGACUCUGGGCCGAGAAUUUUGAGCCGUGGGCGUGUGCGGGCCAUGGAUUUCACACACCGAUCUCAGGAGGAUCCUGGAACAAUCCCUUGCAGCAUGACGAAAGGUAAAUUUGUAAACAAUUGUGCUAAUUAAGCCAGCCCAAUAAAAAUCGGCUCACGAAGGCUUGAGAGGCUCGAGCGACCUGAGAGCCCUGGGCGGAUGGCCGAGUGGCCUGAGAUCUCCCGGGGAGAUCCAGGCGAGCACUUGAACUAAAUCCGGUAGCUUAAACGAGUUAAAGGAACUUGAACGGAACUUAAUCCCAUAAAUUUGGGAAAAAUACAAUUUUAAUCAGGUUAAUUCGUGUGUAGCGCGACUGUUGCAUGGUUUCGGGAUCUGGGCCACGGGAUCAGGGGCCAGGUAGUCGGUCGAGCGAAAGGAUUAGGCCUCUGGAUCUCGGGGAUUUAGCGCAAACAGAGGUGAGUCCGUCCAGAACAGGCCCACCGCCCAUCGCCUUCAUGCGACAUUUUAAUUUAAUCUCAGAUUACGAGCGAACGAGGAGAGGAGAUCGCGGAUCGGGAACGGGAUCGGUAUCGGGAUCAGUCCACAGUCCACCAGAUUAGGCCACUCCGCUCGUAUAUUGCCAAAUAAUGGUCGAGUUCCAGGGGCCGCCACUUCGAUUGCAAAAGUUUCACGUAAAUCCGUAAGAUUAGAUGGCUAGAUCCCCAGAUUUUCAGAUUCCCUCCCGCGCCUAGCCCAAUUGUUAGGUCAAUUGCCAAAUCACUUGAGCGGGGAAUGGAAAACUGGGCCAUCUCAUCAUGGAGGUAAUCCCAGUCGCAGCAGAUCUAGGUAGAUCCUUGAAAGCCACUGGUCAUGCCCACUAAAGCUAGCAGUGCCUCCGAUGAUCUCAUUCCCCUGAUCCCCACACAAGUCCAAAGUAGUCUGCUGGACUAGAUGCGUUGACUUUCGAACCCCUGGGAAUACUACAGCUACAAAUACUACAUGCUACAAAACAUGCUACAUGCUGCUAAACUCGCAGAAACAAAUAUUCUAGAAUCUAUAGUUAUUUACGAAUUGUACAUCAAGAUUGUGAAAGAAUAAAUCAAUGAUUAAGAUCAAA